GGGCGUCAGGCGGGGGUGGGUGCUGUAGGCAACAGGCCUCCCCAUCAGAGCGGAACCCAGCACCAACCUUCAGCAGACUACGAAAUACCGAGCAAGUCACAAGGCCACAGUGAGCACGGCAGAAAGCAAUGGUGAAAGGCAGUUUUCCUCGAAUGAGAGCAUCAGACAGGCAUGCCCGGGACCAGCUGUGGGAAUCCUGAGAGACAGACAUGAAGCACUUCGCUUGGAAAUGCUUUCUUAGUCUUUAAAUUUAAUGUUCAAAGGGAUGAGGGAUUUUUAUCAACAGCAGCCAGCUGCAAUGCAAAGUCAUGCUUUCUAGUCUCAGUUCAAAUGGCCAUUAGCCGCCCAUAUCACAGUCUCCAUUUUCAAGCCAAUUUUGGUUUAAAGGUGACCCUACUCUCAAAAAUCAUUAAAUAAUAAGUGGUCUCACUCUAA